rnacentral:rRNA from 1 species
GAUGAACGCUAGCUACAGGCUUAACACAUGCAAGUCGCGGGGCAGCAUGGGGGUUGCUUGCAAUCCCCGAUGGCGACCGGCGCACGGGUGAGUAACGCGUAUCCAACCUGCCCUUCACCACGGGAUAACCCGGCGAAAGUCGGACUAAUACCGUAUGUUGUCCAUUGACGGCAUCCGAUUUGGACGAAAGGUUUGGCGGUGAAGGAUGGGGAUGCGUCCGAUUAGCUGGACGGCGGGGUGACGGCGCACCGUGGCGACGAUCGGUAGGGGUUCUGAGAGGAAGGUCCCCCACACUGGAACUGAGACACGGUCCAGACUCCUACGGGAGGCAGCAGUGAGGAAUAUUGGUCAAUGGGCGUAAGCCUGAACCAGCCAAGUAGCGUGCAGGAUGACGGCCCUAUGGGUUGUAAACUGCUUUUAUGCGGGGAUAAAGUGGCCCACGUGUGGGUUUUUGCAGGUACCGCAUGAAUAAGGACCGGCUAAUUCCGUG